rnacentral:rRNA from 1 species
GACGAACGCUGGCGGCGUGCCUAAUACAUGCAAGUAGAACGCAGUUGCGAACGGGUGAGUAACGCGUAGGUAACUGCCUCAUAGCGGGGGAUAACUAUUGGAAACGAUAGCUAAUACCGCAUACUGUGAGAUGGACCUGCGUUGUAUUAGCUAGUUGGUGAGGUAAAGGCUCACCACGGCGACGUUACAUAGCCGACCUGAGAGGGUGAUAGGACACACUGGGACUGAGACACGGCCCAGAGUACUACGGGAGGCAGCAGGAGGGAAGCUUCGGGAAGGGACGGAAGUCUGACCGAGCAACGCCGCGUGAGUGAAGAAGGUUCUCGGAGAGUAAAGCUCUGUUGAUAGAGAAGCGGUAGCUAACCAGAAUGGCACGGAUAACUACGUGCCAGCAGCCGCGGUAAUUC